AUCAAAACACCUGAAAACAGCAGAGACAACCAAAAAUUUCAUGUAAAAGAGAAUUGCCCAUCAGUUCUGACUCAGAAGGUUCAAGUGGUGUGCAGUCAGCGUGGGAAAGGCACAGAACAUACUCAUCAGUAGUGAAGAUGGAAUUUACAGACUAGUGACCAAAUUCCCUUGCUUCCCUUCACUCUUCUGAAUAUGGUAACAGUUACAAAGCACCUGUGUGAAUUGGACUUGCCUG
rnacentral:lncRNA from 1 species